AUGAUUGAAUCGGGGGGCGUCACAUUGUCCUCAAGUGAAGUGUUGGAUGAGUUUGUGGCAAUGAGUAUCUUGGACAAGACCGCCGACAAUGCGGUGUUGCGUUCUCAAAGAGCAAAGAAGCCCAACCUUGCCUUGAAGGCCAAGGCUAGUGUGGAAGAAGAGGAUGAAGAGGAAGAAGAGGAGAGCAACCCCGAAGAUACAAAAUAUGCUUAUCAUGAGCACAUGGUUGUCGCUUCAAGGCAAUUUUGGAGCAAGAAGAACACAAGGCCUAACUUCAACAAGAACAACUCAAGUGUCAUGAAGGGCAAGCAAUGUGUGAGGACUUGCUAUAAUUGUGGCAAUGUGAUCCAUUUUGUUGCGGAAUGCCCAUAUGAGAAGAGGGAAGACAAUGGUGGCUGA
rnacentral:rRNA from 1 species